rnacentral:rRNA from 1 species
AUUGAACGCUGGCGACAUGCCUUACACAUGCAAGUCGAACGGCAGCACGGGUGCUUGCCCCUGGUGGCGAGUGGCGAACGGGUGAGUAAUACAUCGGAACAUGUCCUGUAGUGGGGGAUAGCCCGGCGAAAGCCGGAUUAAUACCGCAUACGAUCUACGGAUGACAGCGGGGGACCUUCGGGCCUCGCGCUAUAGGGUUGGCCGAUGGCUGAUUAGCUCGUUGGUGGGGUAAAGGCCUACCAAGGCGACGAGCAGUAGCUGGUCUGAGAGGACGACCAGUCGCACUGGGACUGAGACACGGCCCAGACUCCUACGGGAGGCAGCAGUGGGGAAUGUUGGACAAUGGGCGAAAGCCUGAUCCAGCAAUGCCGCGUGUGUGAAGAAGGCCUUCGGGUUGUAAAGCACUUUUGUCCGGAAAGAAAUCCUUGGCCCUAAUACGGUCGGGGGAUGACGGUACCGGAAGAAUAAGCACCGGCUAACUACGUG